UACGUAGGGGGCUAGCGUUGUCCGGAUUUAUUGGGCGUAAAGAGCGUGUAGGCGGCCAGGUAGGUCUGCUGUGAAAACUCGAGGCUUAACCUCGAGAUGUCGGCGGAAACCAUCUGGCUAGAGUCCGGAAGAGGAGAGUGGAAUUCCUGGUGUAGCGGUGAAAUGCGCAGAUAUCAGGAAGAACACCCGUGGCGAAGGCGGCUCUCUGGAACGGUACUGACGCUGAGACGCGAAAGCGUGGGGAGCGAACAGG
rnacentral:rRNA from 1 species